GACGAACGCUGGCGGCGGGCUUAAUACAUGCAAGUCGAGCGAAGCGGGGACGGGUGAUGAACACGUGGAUAACCUCCUAUAAGACUGGGAUAACGUCGGGAAACCUGAUCUAAACCGGUUACUUAUAGAUUGUUCCGCGGUGUAUUAGCUAGUUGGUAAGGUAACGGCUUACCAAGGCAACGAUGCAUAGCCGACCUGAGAGUGUGAUCAGCCACACUGGAACUGAGACACGGUCCAGACUCCUACGGGAGGCAGCAGUAGGGAAUAUUCCGCAAUGGGCGAAAGCCUGAUGGAGCCACGCCGCGUGAGUGAGGAAGGUCUUCGGAUCGUAAAGCUCUGUUAGUAGGGAAGCGGUACCUAAUCAGAAAGCCACGGCUAACUACGUGCCAGCAGCCGCGGUAAUAC
rnacentral:rRNA from 1 species